rnacentral:rRNA from 1 species
UACGUAGGGUGCAGGCGUUGUCCGGAUCGACUGGGCGUAAAGCGCACGCAGGCGGAUGCGCGCGUGGGGUGUGAAAUCUGGCCGCUUAACGGCCAGGCGCCAUCCCAUACGGCGCGUCUGGAGUGAUGCAGAGGUCGAUGGAAUUGCCGGUGUAGUGGUGAAAUGCGUAGAGAUCGGCAGGAACACCCAGGGGGAAACCAGUCGACUGGGCAUCUACUGACGCUGAGGUGCGAGAGCGUGGGGAGCGAACCGG